rnacentral:rRNA from 1 species
CCCUAAGUCUGGGAUACCAUUUGGAAACAGGUGCUAAUACCGGAUAAUAAAGCGGAUCGCAUGAUCAGCUUUUGAAAGGCGGCGUAAGCUGUCGCUAAGGGAUGGCCCCGCGGUGCAUUAGCUAGUUGGUAAGGUAACGGCUUACCAAGGCGACGAUGCAUAGCCGAGUUGAGAGACUGAUCGGCCACAAUGGGACUGAGACACGGCCCAUACUCCUACGGGAGGCAGCAGUAGGGAAUCUUCCACAAUGGGCGCAAGCCUGAUGGAGCAACACCGCGUGAGUGAAGAAGGGUUUCGGCUCGUAAAGCUCUGUUGUUAAAGAAGAACACGUAUGAGAGUAACUGUUCAUACGUUGACGGUAUUUAACCAGAAAGUCACGGCUAACUACGUGCCAGCAGCCGCGGUAAUACGUAGGUGGCAAGCGUUAUCCGGAUUUAUUGGGCGUAAAGAGAGUGCAGGCGGUUUUCUAAGUCUGAUGUGAAAGCCUUCGGCUUAACCGGAGAAGUGCAUCGGAAACUGGAUAACUUGAGUGCAGAAGAGGGUAGUGGAACUCCAUGUGUAGCGGUGGAAUGCGUAG